rnacentral:lncRNA from 1 species
CAGGGCUCACUGUCGGUGGGGCGACAAAGCCUCACUUCACGAAGGCUCUGCCAAGGGCACGGUUGACCGCCCGGUGUCUCUCGUCGAAGCACGAACCGCUCGCGUGCCAGCACAGGCCCAGACCCUGGGUCCGGUCUUCCAGUGCAUGCCGAAGCAGCGCACCAUGUUACAGUCGUCCACCUCCCGCAAAUCCGACUUGGCAGGGGCACGAGGCACCACCUACAGUUGCACCGCAAACAGCAAUGACGACUUCACACCGCCGGCACUUCCAUGUCCAAGUAUUGACCGGUUUCGGGACUGGAUUCCGUAGUCCAUCCGCUCGGCACACGGAGAGGAACAAGGCGACCAUGGCGACCAGGCGGACAGAACGCAGUCGUCGGGACACGGUACCGUACACUCGCGUUCCUUCACUAUAGGUGACUCGUAGAUGAUGCAGUGGGCGUCGUCAACCACUGUCUGCCUCGCGGAAAAAGAGACGGGGGGGAAACAGACACACCGCUUCAAAUGAUAGUUGACUGCCCGAGUCAAUUAAAAAAGAAAGCCAUCAUACCCCAUCGAAGAAAACACAUCUUGCGUCUCGCAUCUGGAUGCCGUCGCCACAGUUUCCUCCGGAGAGAGGCUUGCAGGGACCCCAAGGCUGGGGUUCCCAGUGAGAC